GACGAACGCUGGCGGCGUGCCUAACACAUGCAAGUCGAACGGAAAGGCCCUGCUUUUGUGGGGUGCUCGAGUGGCGAACGGGUGAGUAACACGUGAGUAACCUGCCCUUGACUUUGGGAUAACUUCAGGAAACUGGGGCUAAUACCGGAUAGGAGCUCCUGCUGCAUGGUGGGGGUUGGAAAGUUUCGGCGGUUGGGGAUGGACUCGCGGCUUAUCAGCUUGUUGGUGGGGUAGUGGCUUACCAAGGCUUUGACGGGUAGCCGGCCUGAGAGGGUGACCGGCCACAUUGGGACUGAGAUACGGACCAGACUCCUACGGGAGGCAGCAGUGGGGAAUAUUGCACAAUGAGCGGAAGCCUGAUGCAGCAACGCCGCGUGCGGGAUGACGGCCUUCGGGUUGUAAACCGCUUUCGCCUGUGACGAAGCGUGAGUGACGGUAAUGGGUAAAGAAGCACCGGCUAACUACGUG
rnacentral:rRNA from 1 species